GGGGAUUGAUUGUGAGAUGCGUGGGGGAGGGGCAAGAUACAGGGAGAAGGAAGAAGUUUUUGCGUGGAUUGCGAGCGAAAAAAGGCGAGUGACAAACCCGAAAGAAGGGAAGACAAACACAUGGGCAGUACGACACUCGGAAAACGUUAGAGGACCUUGGGGGCGGCCGGGAUAGAAGAGAGAGGAGACCUAUGCGCUCUCAGUGUUUAUGGGAAAUUUCAACGCUCUCAAUGUUUUCUCCAGGAAGGCCUUCAACAGUGUUUUCCCCCUUUGGAGGUGUCGCUCACUUCCUCCUGCUCCUCCGCUCCGUGUGGAUCACAAUGUCAUCUGUGAGCAUCAUAGUCUACAGGGGUUCCUGCCUGACCACAUAUGUCAACCUGUCCAUCACAAGUGUAAACAAUACAAGGCUCAGAGCCAAUUCCUGAUAUAACCCCACCCCCACCACAAAUCCAUCUGUAACUGCAACCACAUAACCCCUGUCUCAAUGUCCUCAUAUAUGUCUAACAACCUUCCCAUUUUUCUUGAGAUUAUUUCUUAGUAAUACCAUGUAGCAUUUCUUUGUAUGUACUUUUUUUUUUCUGUUCAUCUGUUUUGAUUUUAAUGGAAUGGUUGAUCUACUUUAUGUAACUUAAUAUAAAUCUCUAUCAUACAUUGCACAUUCUCUAUUUAUUGUGCACUGGUCAUUUUACAAACUUCUCUACAAUUAUGGCAUGUUGGCCACCUCUCUUUGCAUUCCUUUUCUGUCAAAUAAUUCUUGCUAAUUAUUUUUUCUUUUUUAUCAGCAAUAUUUCUCUUGAUCUAUUAGUUCUAGAAUGUGCAGCACACUAUGUUCUUUGAUUAGAACUAUUCUUGGUCACCAUAAUUCACUGCAUAUCAAACUAAAAACAUAUACCAAAUCUGCAUCCUGCCAAUUAAU